rnacentral:rRNA from 1 species
CCUACGGGGGGCUGCAGUUAAGAAUCUUGCGCAAUGGGCGCAAGCCUGACGCAGCGACGCCGCGUGGACGAUGAAGGCCUUCGGGUUGUAAAGUCCGUUAAGCAGGGAAGAAUAAGUUUCGAUUAAUACUCGGAACGAUGACGGUACCUGCCUAAAGCCCCGGCUAACUACGUGCCAGCAGCCGCGGUAAUACGUAUGGGGCGAGCGUUGUUCGGAAUAAUUGGGCGUAAAGGGGAACUAGGCGGGGAGUGAAAGCCAUGGGCUCAACCCAUGAAUUGCAUCUAAAACUGGUGUUCUUGAGUUCGGGAGAGGAGAGCGGAAUUCCUGGUGUAGCGGUGAAAUGCGUAGAUAUCAGGAAGAACACCUGUGGCGAAGGCGGCUCUCUGGCCCAGAACUGACGCUGAAGCGCGAAAGCGUGGGGAGCGAACGGGAUUAGAUACCCUGGUAGUC